GGGAGUUGUAAACUGCUGGAAUUCACGUCUGCCCUUUGGGAUGCUGAACAGAAGAGAGGAAAGGUCUCUCUACAAGGGCAGGAGGAAGGGCUUUGGCUCUAUAAAGCCAGGCUCUGUGUUAGCUUUCAGUGUGGAUUACAGAAGUUGAUGGAUAUUCUUGGUAUGUUAAGGGUGACAACGAAAACUCUCCACCAAGAAAGCUGGAGUACAGAGCUGAGACCAUUUUGUGUAAUCCAUAGGAUUUGUCAUUUUGUUAAGACAAGGGAUAACUUCCAUUUAAUAAUCGCUCGGAAAGAAGCAGGUAAUGCCUCAUGUCACUGUUCAAGGAGCAUUUGGAUAAUGCCCUCAAUAAUACACUUCAGGUUCUGUUUAGCCCUGAAGCGGCCAGACAGCUGGACAAGAUGAUUUCUGAACGUCCCUUCCAACUCAACUAUUCUACACAAGAAUUGAAGAUCCCUUCUAAUUUUGCAGCACCUGCAUAAAGUUAAUUGUUGUCCUUGCCCAUCUUCCAAUGUCUGGACAUGCAGUGCAGAGACCCAAGCUGGUGUUUGCACCUUUUCAAGGGUGACCUCUAGGCUCAAGUAGUGAUGGAGACAAGAGAGGAAAUCUGCAAAGCAAAAUGCUCAGCGCAGAAAGAACAGUAAACAGGCACAAAAGCUGUCCUUUUCAAGAGAGGGUAAAAUUACAAAGAACGGAACGAGGGUUCUUCGGGAAUAACACCAUUGUUGUUCCUAAUUGUGUGCGUGUGUUGUGUGCGCAUGUGGCAUAGCAAAAUAAAAACGAUGUUUAUAGAGA
rnacentral:lncRNA from 1 species